rnacentral:rRNA from 1 species
UACGUAGGGUGCAAGCGUUGUCCGGAAUUAUUGGGCGUAAAGAGCUUGUAGGGGGUUUGUCGCGUCUGCUGUGAAAUUUCGGGGCUCAACCCCGAACUUGCAGUGGGUACGGGCAGACUAGAGUGUGGUAGGGGAGACUGGAAUUCCUGGUGUAGCGGUGAAAUGCGCAGAUAUCAGGAGGAACACCGAUGGCGAAGGCAGGUCUCUGGGCCACUACUGACGCUGAGAAGCGAAAGCAUGGGGAGCGAACGGG